GAGAGAAAAAAAGAUAAGUGAAGAGAUGGAGAUUUGACCCAAAAAAAAGAAAGAUAGAAAAAAGAAAUUUAAAGAUUGAUGUUGGAUAUAAGUAGAAGAGAACACGUCAUGAGAGAAAAGUAAAAGAGAAGUGAUGUGUGGUGGAUGGAGAGAGAUUCAGAGAAGAUAAGGAAAAAAGAUAAAGUUUAAUAAUUCUUUAGUUUAACAGAGAGGUAAAACGGGAAAACAAAGCAUGUGCUACAUUCCCAAGUUGGAGGUGGGCUCCACUUGCCACAUCACCC
rnacentral:lncRNA from 1 species